rnacentral:tRNA from 1 species
CCGUAGCUCAGCGGUAGAGCACGAACAUCCCAUCAUCUUCGUCGCAGCGUGUUCUUUUUUGGAGCGAAUGCCGUCAGGAAUCCAGGUAGCGCAUCCCGCCGCGAGGCGGGAAGGCCGCGGGUUCAAACCCCGCCCGCCGGG